rnacentral:rRNA from 1 species
UGGGGAAUUUUGCACAAUGGGGGAAACCCUGAUGCAGCGACGCCGCGUGAUUUAGAAGGCCUUCGGGUUGUAAAAAUCUUUUUUAUGGGAUGAAAAUGACAGUACCAUAAGAAUAAGGUCCGGCUAAAUACGUGCCAGCAGCCGCGGUAAUACGUAGGUGGCAAGCGUUAUCCGGAAUUAUUGGGCGUAAAGCGCGCGUAGGCGGUUUUUUAAGUCUGAUGUGAAAGCCCACGGCUCAACCGUGGAGGGUCAUUGGAAACUGGAAAACUUGAGUGCAGAAGAGGAAAGUGGAAUUCCAUGUGUAGCGGUGAAAUGCGCAGAGAUAUGGAGGAACACCAGUGGCGAAGGCGACUUUCUGGUCUGUAACUGACGCUGAUGUGCGAAAGCGUGGGAAUCAAACAGG